rnacentral:rRNA from 2 species
CCUAAACUUCUUUCCCCACCCCCGCCCCGCCCCCUACAGACCGUCAGGUGGGCCCAAGCGAUGUCUCGGAAUUUUAUUGGGCCGUAAAGCCGCCGCCCCCCCGCCCGUCCCUUUUAAGUCUGAUGUGAAAAGCCCCACGGUUCAAACCGUGGAGGGGUCAUUGGGAAAUUGGGGGGACUUGAGUGCAGAAGAGAAGAGUGGAAUUCCACGUGUAGCGGUGAAAUGCGUAGAGAUGUGGAGGAACACCAGUGGCGAAGGCGACUCUUUGGUCUGUAACUGACGCUGAGGCGCGAAAGCGUGGGGAGCAAACAGGAUUAGAUACCCCUGGUAGUCCACGCCGUAAACGAUGAGUGCUAAGUGUUAGAGGGUUUCCGCCCUUUUAGUGCUGCAGCAAACGCAUUAAGCACUCCGCCUGGGGAGUACGGCCGCAAGGCUGAAACUCAAAGGAAUUGACGGGGGCCCGCACAAGCGGUGGAGCAUGUGGUUUAAUUUGAAGCAACGCGAAGAACCUUACCAGGUCUUGACAUCUCCUGACAAUCCUAGAGAUAGGACGUUCCCCUUCGGGGGACAGGAUGACAGGUGGUGCAUGGUUGUCGUCAGCUCGUGUCGUGAGAUGUUGGGUUAAGUCCCGCAACGAGCGCAACCCUUGAUCUUAGUUGCCAGCAUUUAGUUGGGCACUCUAAGGUGACUGCCGGUGACAAACCGGAGGAAGGUGGGGAUGACGUCAAAUCAUCAUGCCCCUUAUGACCUGGGCUACACACGUGCUACAAUGGAUGGUACAAAGGGCAGCAAAACCGCGAGGUCGAGCCAAUCCCAUAAAACCAUUCUCAGUUCGGAUUGUAGGCUGCAACUCGCCUACAUGAAGCUGGAAUCGCUAGUAAUCGCGGAUCAGCAUGCCGCGGUGAAUACGUUCCCGGGCCUUGUACACACCGCCCGUCACACCACGAGAGUUUGUAACACCCGAAGUCGGUGGGGUAACCCUUCUGAGCCAGCCCGCUAAACGACGCUAACUU